rnacentral:rRNA from 1 species
GUGAACGCUGGCGGUAGGCCCAACACAUGCAAGUCGCACGGCAGCACAGUAAGAGCUUGCUCUUACGGGUGGCGAGUGGCGGACGGGUGAGGAAUACAUCGGAAUCUACUUUUUCGUGGGGGAUAACGUAGGGAAACUUACGCUAAUACCGCAUACGACCUACGGGUGAAAGCAGGGGAUCUUCGGACCUUGCGCGAUUGAAUGAGCCGAUGUCGGAUUAGCUAGUUGGCGGGGUAAAGGCCCACCAAGGCGACGAUCCGUAGCUGGUCUGAGAGGAUGAUCAGCCACACUGGAACUGAGACACGGUCCAGACUCCUACGGGAGGCAGCAGUGGGGAAUAUUGGACAAUGGGCGCAAGCCUGAUCCAGCCAUACCGCGUGGGUGAAGAAGGCCUUCGGGUUGUAAAGCCCUUUUGUUGGGAAAGAAAAGCAGCAGGUUAAUACCCCGCUGUUCUGACGGUACCCAAAGAAUAAGCACCGGCUAACUGCGU